AAGGCUGAGCUGUGAUGGGGAAGCUCCUUAUGGAGCGAAGUCUUUGAUUCCCCGCUGCCAAGAAAAGCUUCUAGCGAGAUAAAAGGUGCCUGUACCGCAAACCGACACAGGUAGGCGAGGAGAGAAUCCUAAGGUGUGCGAGAGAACUCUGGUUAAGGAACUCGGCAAAAUGACCCCGUAACUUCGGGAGAAGGGGUGCUUUCUUAACGGAAAGCCGCAGUGAAUAGGCCCAAGCGACUGUUUAGCAAAAACACAGCUCUCUGCGAAGCCGUAAGGCGAAGUAUAGGGGGUGACACCUGCCCGGUGCUGGAAGGUUAAGGAGAGGGGUUAGCGUAAGCGAAGCUCUGAACUGAAGCCCCAGUAAACGGCGGCCGUAACUAUAACGGUCCUAAGGUAGCGAAAUUCCUUGUCGGGUAAGUUCCGACCCGCACGAAAGGUGUAACGAUUUGGGCACUGUCUCAACCAGAGACUCGGUGAAAUUAUAGUACCUGUGAAGAUGCAGGUUACCCGCGACAGGACGGAAAGACCCCGUGGAGCUUUACUGUAGCCUGAUAUUGAAUUUUGGUACAGUUUGUACAGGAUAGGCGGGAGCCAUUGAAACCGGAGCGCUAGCUUCGGUGGAGGCGCUGGUGGGAUACCGCCCUGACUGUAUUGAAAUUCUAACCUACGGGUCUUAUCGACCCGGGAGACAGUGUCAGGUGGGCAGUUUGACUGGGGCGGUCGCCUCCUAAAGUGUAACGGAGGCGCCCAAAGGUUCCCUCAGAAUGGUUGGAAAUCAUUCGUAGAGUGCAAAGGCAUAAGGGAGCUUGACUGCGAGACCUACAAGUCGAGCAGGGACGAAAGUCGGGCUUAGUGAUCCGGUGGUUCCGCAUGGAAGGGCCAUCGCUCAACGGAUAAAAGCUACCCCGGGGAUAACAGGCUUAUCUCCCCCAAGAGUCCACAUCGACGGGGAGGUUUGGCACCUCGAUGUCGGCUCAUCGCAUCCUGGGGCUGUAGUCGGUCCCAAGGGUUGGGCUGUUCGCCCAUUAAAGCGGUACGCGAGCUGGGUUCAGAACGUCGUGAGACAGUUCGGUCCCUAUCCGUCGUGGGCGUAGGAAAUUUGAGAGGAGCUGUCCUUAGUACGAGAGGACCGGGAUGGACGCACCGCUGGUGUACCAGUUGUUCUGCCAAGGGCAUAGCUGGGUAGCUAUGUGCGGAAGGGAUAAGUGCUGAAAGCAUCUAAGCAUGAAGCCCCCCUCAAGAUGAGAUUUCCCAUAGCGUAAGCUAGUAAGAUCCCUGAAAGAUGAUCAGGUUGAUAGGUUCGAGGUGGAAGCAUGGUGACAUGUGGAGCUGACGAAUACUAAUAGAUCGAGGACUUAACCA
rnacentral:rRNA from 2 species